rnacentral:rRNA from 1 species
CCUACGGGUGGCAGCAGUCGAGAAUCAUUCACAAUGGGGGAAACCCUGAUGGUGCGACGCCGCGUGGGGGAAUGAAGGUCUUCGGAUUGUAAACCCCUGUCAUGUGGGAGCAAAUUAAAAAGAUAGUACCACAAGAGGAAGAGACGGCUAACUCUGUGCCAGCAGCCGCGGUAAUACAGAGGGCUCAAGCGUUGUUCGGAAUCACUGGGCGUAAAGCGUGCGUAGGCUGUUUCGUAAGUCGUGUGUGAAAGGCGCGGGCUCAACCCGCGGACGGCACAUGAUACUGCGAGACUAGAGUAAGGGAGGGGGAACCGGAAUUCUCGGUGGAGCAGUGAAAUGCGUAGAUAUCGAGAGGAACACUCGUGGCGAAGGCGGGUUCCUGGACAUUAACUGACGCUGAGGCACGAAGGCCAGGGGAGCGAAAGGGAUUAGAUACCCCAGUAGUC